rnacentral:rRNA from 1 species
GGGGAAUUUUCCGCAAUGGGCGCAAGCCUGACGGAGCAACGCCGCGUGAGGGAUGAAGGCCUCUGGGCUGUAAACCUCUUUUCUCAAGGAAGAAGAUCUGACGGUACUUGAGGAAUAAGCCACGGCUAAUUCCGUGCCAGCAGCCGCGGUAAUACGGGAGUGGCAAGCGUUAUCCGGAAUUAUUGGGCGUAAAGCGUCCGCAGGCGGUCUUGAAAGUCUGUUGUUAAAGCGUGGAGCUUAACUCCAUUUCAGCAAUGGAAACUACAAGGCUAGAGUGUGGUAGGGGCAGAGGGAAUUCCCGGUGUAGCGGUGAAAUGCGUAGAUAUCGGGAAGAACACCAGUGGCGAAGGCGCUCUGCUGGGCCAUAACUGACGCUCAUGGACGAAAGCCAGGGGAGCGAAAGGGAUUAGAUACCCCUGUAGUC